rnacentral:rRNA from 1 species
UACGGAGGGAGCUAGCGUUGUUCGGAAUUACUGGGCGUAAAGCGCGCGUAGGCGGCUUUGUAAGUUAGAGGUGAAAGCCCGGGGGCUCAACUCCGGAAUUGCCUUUAAGACUGCAUCGCUAGAAUCCGGGAGAGGUGAGUGGAAUUCCGAGUGUAGAGGUGAAAUUCGUAGAUAUUCGGAAGAACACCAGUGGCGAAGGCGGCUCACUGGACCGGUAUUGACGCUGAGGUGCGAAAGCGUGGGGGAGCAAACAGG